AUUGAACGCUGGCGGCAGGCCUAACACAUGCAAGUCGAGCGGGGGUAGCAAUACCCUAGCGGCGAACGGGUGAGGAAUGCUUGGGAAUCUGCCUCGUAGUGGGGGAUAACGUUCCGAAAGGAACGCUAAUACCGCAUACGUUCUACGGGAGAAAGGGGGGGAUCUUCGGACCUCUCGCUAUGAGAUGAGCCCAAGCGGGAUUAGCUAGUUGGUGAGGUAAAGGCUCACCAAGGCGACGAUCCCUAGCUGGUCUGAGAGGAUGAUCAGCCACACUGGAACUGAGACACGGUCCAGACUCCUACGGGAGGCAGCAGUGGGGAAUAUUGGACAAUGGGCGAAAGCCUGAUCCAGCCAUGCCGCGUGUGUGAAGAAGGCCUUCGGGUUGUAAAGCACUUUAAGCGAGGAGGAAGGUUCGUUACUUAAUACGUAACGGAAUUGACGUUACUCGCAGAAUAAGCACCGGCUAACUCUGUGCCAGCAGCCGCAGUAAGAC
rnacentral:rRNA from 1 species